rnacentral:rRNA from 1 species
UGCCAGCAGCCGCGGUAAUACGGAGGGUGCAAGCGUUAAUCGGAAUUACUGGGCGUAAAGCGCGCGUAGGCGGUUUGUUAAGUCGGAUGUGAAAGCCCCGGGCUCAACCUGGGAAUUGCAUCCGAUACUGGUCGACUAGAGUGCGAGAGAGGGAGGUAGAAUUCCACGUGUAGCGGUGAAAUGCGUAGAUAUGUGGAGGAAUACCGGUGGCGAAGGCGGCCUCCUGGCUCGACACUGACGCUAAGGUGCGAAAGCGUGGGGAGCAAACAGGAUUAGAUA